rnacentral:rRNA from 1 species
CCUACGGGUGGCAGCAGUGGGGGAUAUUGCACAAUGGGGGGAACCCUGAUGCAGCGACGCCGCGUGGGUGAAGGAGUGCUUCGGCAUGUAAAGCCCUAUCGGCAGGGAAGAAGCAAGACGGUACCUGACUAAGAAGCCCCGGCUAACUACGUGCCAGCAGCCGCGGUAAUACGUAGGGGGCGAGCGUUAUCCGGAUUCACUGGGUGUAAAGGGAGCGUAGACGGCCAUGCAAGCCAGGGGUGAAAGCCCGGGGCCCAACCCCGGGACUGCCCUUGGAACUGCAUGGCUGGAGUGCGGGAGGGGCAGGCGGAAGUCCUGGUGUAGCGGUGAAAUGCGUAGAUAUCACGCAGAACCCCGAUUGCGAAGGCAGCCUUCCGGCGCCCUACUGACGCUGAGGCACGAAAGUGCGGGGAUCGAACAGGAUUAGAUACCCCAGUAGUC